GGUUAAGCGACUAAGCGUACACGGUGGAUGCCCUGGCAGUCAGAGGCGAUGAAGGGCGUGCUAAUCUGCGAUAAGCGCCGGUAAGGUGAUAUGAACCGUUAUAACCGGCGAUACCCGAAUGGGGAAACCCAGUGUGAUUCGUCACACUAUCAUUAACUGAAUCCAUAGGUUAAUGAGGCGAACCGGGGGAACUGAAACAUCUAAGUACCCCGAGGAAAAGAAAUCAACCGAGAUUCCCCCAGUAGCGGCGAGCGAACGGGGAGGAGCCCAGAGCCUGAAUCAGCAUGUGUGUUAGUGGAAGCGUCUGGAAAGGCGCGCGAUACAGGGUGACAGCCCCGUACACAAAAGCGCAUGUGCUGUGAGCUCGAUGAGUAGGGCGGGACACGUGGUAUCCUGUCUGAAUAUGGGGGGACCAUCCUCCAAGGCUAAAUACUCCUGACUGACCGAUAGUGAACCAGUACCGUGAGGGAAAGGCGAAAAGAACCCCGGCGAGGGGAGUGAAAAAGAACCUGAAACCGUGUACGUACAAGCAGUGGGAGCCCCACCACUAAGCCAGUGGUGAACUCCACAUACGCAUCCUUUGCUGAGGAUACGGUUAACGGAGCGAAAGCGACGUUCAACCUCAAAAGAAGCAGAGGGGGCUUAGUGGUGGGGUGACUGCGUACCUUUUGUAUAAUGGGUCAGCGACUUAUAUUCUGUAGCAAGGUUAACCGUAUAGGGGAGCCGUAGGGAAACCGAGUCUUAACCGGGCGUUAAGUUGCAGGGUAUAGACCCGAAACCCGGUGAUCUAGCCAUGGGCAGGUUGAAGGUUGGGUAACACUAACUGGAGGACCGAACCGACUAAUGUUGAAAAAUUAGCGGAUGACCUGUGGCUGGGGGUGAAAGGCCAAUCAAACCGGGAGAUAGCUGGUUCUCCCCGAAAGCUAUUUAGGUAGCGCCUCGUGAAUUCAUCUCCGGGGGUAGAGCACUGUUUCGGCUAGGGGGCCAUCCCGGCUUACCAACCCGAUGCAAACUGCGAAUACCGGAGAAUGUUAUCACGGGAGACACACGGCGGGUGCUAACGUCCGUCGUGAAGAGGGAAACAACCCAGACCGCCAGCUAAGGUCCCAAAGUCAUGGUUAAGUGGGAAACGAUGUGGGAAGGCCCAGACAGCCAGGAUGUUGGCUUAGAAGCAGCCAUCAUUUAAAGAAAGCGUAAUAGCUCACUGGUCGAGUCGGCCUGCGCGGAAGAUGUAACGGGGCUAAACCAUGCACCGAAGCUGCGGCAGCGACACUCAGGUGUUGUUGGGUAGGGGAGCGUUCUGUAAGCCUGUGAAGGUGGCCUGUGAGGGUUGCUGGAGGUAUCAGAAGUGCGAAUGCUGACAUAAGUAACGAUAAAGCGGGUGAAAAGCCCGCUCGCCGGAAGACCAAGGGUUCCUGUCCAACGUUAAUCGGGGCAGGGUGAGUCGACCCCUAAGGCGAGGCCGAAAGGCGUAGUCGAUGGGAAACAGGUUAAUAUUCCUGUACUUGGUGUUACUGCGAAGGGGGGACGGAGAAGGCUAUGUUGGCCGGGCGACGGUUGUCCCGGUUUAAGCGUGUAGGUGUGUGUUCCAGGUAAAUCCGGUUCACUUUAACACUGAGGCGUGAUGACGAGGCACUACGGUGCUGAAGCAACAAAUGCCCUGCUUCCAGGAAAAGCCUCUAAGCAUCAGGUAACAUCAAAUCGUACCCCAAACCGACACAGGUGGUCAGGUAGAGAAUACCAAGGCGCUUGAGAGAACUCGGGUGAAGGAACUAGGCAAAAUGGUGCCGUAACUUCGGGAGAAGGCACGCUGACACGUAGGUGAAGUGAUUUACUCAUGGAGCUGAAGUCAGUCGAAGAUACCAGCUGGCUGCAACUGUUUAUUAAAAACACAGCACUGUGCAAACACGAAAGUGGACGUAUACGGUGUGACGCCUGCCCGGUGCCGGAAGGUUAAUUGAUGGGGUCAGCGCAAGCGAAGCUCCUGAUCGAAGCCCCGGUAAACGGCGGCCGUAACUAUAACGGUCCUAAGGUAGCGAAAUUCCUUGUCGGGUAAGUUCCGACCUGCACGAAUGGCGUAAUGAUGGCCAGGCUGUCUCCACCCGAGACUCAGUGAAAUUGAACUCGCUGUGAAGAUGCAGUGUACCCGCGGCAAGACGGAAAGACCCCGUGAACCUUUACUAUAGCUUGACACUGAACAUUGAGCCUUGAUGUGUAGGAUAGGUGGGAGGCUUUGAAGUGUGGACGCCAGUCUGCAUGGAGCCGACCUUGAAAUACCACCCUUUAAUGUUUGAUGUUCUAACGUGGACCCGUAAUCCGGGUUGCGGACAGUGUCUGGUGGGUAGUUUGACUGGGGCGGUCUCCUCCUAAAGAGUAACGGAGGAGCACGAAGGUUGGCUAAUCCUGGUCGGACAUCAGGAGGUUAGUGCAAUGGCAUAAGCCAGCUUGACUGCGAGCGUGACGGCGCGAGCAGGUGCGAAAGCAGGUCAUAGUGAUCCGGUGGUUCUGAAUGGAAGGGCCAUCGCUCAACGGAUAAAAGGUACUCCGGGGAUAACAGGCUGAUACCGCCCAAGAGUUCAUAUCGACGGCGGUGUUUGGCACCUCGAUGUCGGCUCAUCACAUCCUGGGGCUGAAGUAGGUCCCAAGGGUAUGGCUGUUCGCCAUUUAAAGUGGUACGCGAGCUGGGUUUAGAACGUCGUGAGACAGUUCGGUCCCUAUCUGCCGUGGGCGCUGGAGAACUGAGGGGGGCUGCUCCUAGUACGAGAGGACCGGAGUGGACGCAUCACUGGUGUUCGGGUUGUCAUGCCAAUGGCACUGCCCGGUAGCUAAAUGCGGAAGAGAUAAGUGCUGAAAGCAUCUAAGCACGAAACUUGCCCCGAGAUGAGUUCUCCCUGAGACUUAGAGUCUCCUGAAGGAACGUUGAAGACGACGACGUUGAUAGGCCGGGUGUGUAAGCGCAGCGAUGCGUUGAGCUAACCGGUACUAAUGAACCGUGAGGCUUAACCUU
rnacentral:rRNA from 1 species